GCCGCCAUAGCUCAGUGGCAGAGCGCGUUCUUGGUAAGAACGAGGCCUCGGGUUCAACCCCGAUGGUGGCUCCA
rnacentral:tRNA from 1 species